rnacentral:rRNA from 1 species
UACGGGGGGGGGCAAGCGUUGUUCGGAAUUACUGGGCGUAAAGGGCUCGUAGGCGGCCAACUAAGUCAGACGUGAAAUCCCUCGGCUUAACCGGGGAACUGCGUCUGAUACUGGAUGGCUUGAGUUUGGGAGAGGGAUGCGGAAUUCCAGGUGUAGCGGUGAAAUGCGUAGAUAUCUGGAGGAACACCGGUGGCGAAGGCGGCGUCCUGGACCAACACUGACACUGAUGAGCGAAAGCCAGGGGAGCAAACGGG